AAAUUGAAGAGUUUGAUCAUGGCUCAGAUUGAACGCUGGCGGCAGGCCUAACACAUGCAAGUCGAGCGGUAGCACAGAGAGCUUGCUCUCGGGUGACGAGCGGCGGACGGGUGAGUAAUGUCUGGGAAACUGCCUGAUGGAGGGGGAUAACUACUGGAAACGGUAGCUAAUACCGCAUAACGUCGCAAGACCAAAGUGGGGGACCUUCGGGCCUCAUGCCAUCAGAUGUGCCCAGAUGGGAUUAGCUAGUAGGUGGGGUAACGGCUCACCUAGGCGACGAUCCCUAGCUGGUCUGAGAGGAUGACCAGCCACACUGGAACUGAGACACGGUCCAGACUCCUACGGGAGGCAGCAGUGGGGAAUAUUGCACAAUGGGCGCAAGCCUGAUGCAGCCAUGCCGCGUGUGUGAAGAAGGCCUUCGGGUUGUAAAGCACUUUCAGCGGGGAGGAAGGCGGUGAGGUUAAUAACCUCAUCGAUUGACGUUACCCGCAGAAGAAGCACCGGCUAACUCCGUGCCAGCAGCCGCGGUAAUACGGAGGGUGCAAGCGUUAAUCGGAAUUACUGGGCGUAAAGCGCACGCAGGCGGUCUGUCAAGUCGGAUGUGAAAUCCCCGGGCUCAACCUGGGAACUGCAUUCGAAACUGGCAGGCUAGAGUCUUGUAGAGGGGGGUAGAAUUCCAGGUGUAGCGGUGAAAUGCGUAGAGAUCUGGAGGAAUACCGGUGGCGAAGGCGGCCCCCUGGACAAAGACUGACGCUCAGGUGCGAAAGCGUGGGGAGCAAACAGGAUUAGAUACCCUGGUAGUCCACGCCGUAAACGAUGUCGAUUUGGAGGUUGUGCCCUUGAGGCGUGGCUUCCGGAGCUAACGCGUUAAAUCGACCGCCUGGGGAGUACGGCCGCAAGGUUAAAACUCAAAUGAAUUGACGGGGGCCCGCACAAGCGGUGGAGCAUGUGGUUUAAUUCGAUGCAACGCGAAGAACCUUACCUGGUCUUGACAUCCACAGAACUUUCCAGAGAUGGAUUGGUGCCUUCGGGAACUGUGAGACAGGUGCUGCAUGGCUGUCGUCAGCUC
rnacentral:rRNA from 1 species